rnacentral:misc_RNA from 1 species
GAUGAAGAACGCAGUGAAAUGCGAUACGUAAUGUGAAUUGCAGAAUUCAGUGAAUCAUCGAAUCUUUGAACGCAUAUUGCGCUCUUUGGUAUUCCGAAGAGCAUGCUUGUUUGAGUAUCAGUAAACACCUCAACCUCUUCUUGAUUUUUCAAAAGGAGGGUGGACUUGAGCUAUCCCAACAACCUUUACCGGUCGGCGGGCGGCUUGAAAUGCAGGUGCAGCUGGACUUUUAUCUGAGCUAAAAGCAUAUCUAUUUAGUCCUCGUCAAACAGGAUUAUUACUUUUGCUGCAGCUAACAUAAAGGAUAAUUGUCCUCUUUGCUGACUGAUGCAGGAUUUUACGACACUUUAUGUGUUGUUCAACUCGAUCUCAAAUCAAGUAAGACUACCCGCUGAACUUAAGCAUAUCAAAAGCGGAGGA